AGUUUUUUAAACUUUGCUCCCAAAAUGUUCUUCAAUGUCUGGUCACAGUUAUGAUCACCAUAUUGGAUUUGUGCUCAGCACAGACCUUAGACUAUCUAGUCUAGACACAGUUUCCAUAGUUUCACCGACAGACAUUUCUAGAACUUAGUCAGAGCUGAGUUUAUGUAUACAUGAAUGAAGCCUGCAGGUACUAACCCAAGUGGACAAAUAUGCAUGUGUUUAGUGUUGAUGACAAUUAUUACCUAUUGAAUGAUGAGUUGUUGAUUGCACAUUAGAAUCAUUAGCUGCCUUAUGUCCACAAUGGUGCCUGCAUGAAUACAGACAGCUCUAUACACAAGAGGGACGGUAAGUAAGUCAAAAUAGAGGGUUACCUAUCAGAGCUCGGAUGAGAGACAAACUACAUGGAGCCUUUCAUAUAUUCAUGAGCUCAUUGACACGCCAAAUAUGCAAUAACAAUUAACACUAGAGCCAUCUGAAUAACCAAAUGAAAAAGAUUCUGUUUUAUCAUCUGAAUGACCAAAAGAUAAAAGGAACUAAACCAACCAUGGUCAGCAACUCAUUCCGCAAUCCGGAAUUAAUAAAAUUUGUUACCUCACUCAAGGAAUAACCAUCCAACGAUCUCCCUCUAGCAGCAUUAUCCAUGCAUAACUAAUGAAUCUGUUUUUUUAACUUCAUGAGAAUAGGUGACCCCAGAUGAGCGGGGAUCAGAACCCUCUCUUCAAAUUUUCAAAGUUCAGACAUCUACGUUUUAUAAUCCUCUAGUACUUGUGAACUGGACUCCUGGACCUCUUGGAACCAUGUCUAAUAGGAGACCGUGACCGGCUUCUAUCACGUCCCCGGUAUCUCUCCCUGCUUCUGUUUCUCCCAUUCCUGGAACUCCCAUGUUUCCAACCUGAUCCCCUAUCAAAAUCACGCCCUCCUCUGCCAUUUCUGUCAAGGUCGCGAUCUCUUCCCCGGUAGCGAUCCCGUUCCCUGUCAUGAUCUUGAUCUCUGUGCUUGUCCCUGUCAGAUGACUCACUUCUUCGUCGUCUGCUAUCAUGUUCUUUCUCCCUCAACUUUUUCCUUUCUUCUGCUUCUUUCUCCCUGGCUAACCUUUCCUCUUCCCAAGCCUUCUCUUUAGCAGCCUUGUACUCAGCUAAGAAAUCUCGAACCAUCCCAUAACCAACAUGCUGUUUACCAGUGACGUGAGACUGAGUUCUCUCUGCAGCAUCAUUUGCAACAAGAAAGGAACCACAUGUCUCGCACAGAGCCAUCUUUUUCUCUUGUACAAUCAUUAGUGCACUGUUCUGCUGGGAUUGCUGAGUCAAGGUAGUCUUUUCAACAUUAAGCAUUUCCACCUUUCUCAUCAGAGCUUCAGCUUCAUCAACUUUUCCAGCUUCACCAAGAGACUCCACUUGUUCUAGCAAGUUCUUAAUCUUCUCCUCCAAGACAGACAGCUGCUCAGAUUUUUCUGCUGAUAUUGGAGGAGGUGGGGGAACGUCAACCUCCUGAGCAAGGCGUUCUCGACCACGCCUCACUUUCUUAUCCAAGUCCAUCACCAAUUUCUCACAAAAAUGGGCUAGUUCUGCUUCAAACUUGGGAACAUAAGAAUCAUGUCUUGGAGAUUUCUCAAAACUUUCCUUCAACUUCGCUUCAUGAAUUUUCGAGCAGGGUCCCAAAUCACUACGAGUAUUCACGAACAGAUCGUGAGGGCAAAAUCGAACCAUAUAGAAUGCACAGACUUCCUUGUCAUCCCAUUUCACUUCCUUGAACCCUCUCCUCUCGUCUUCAGUUAAAUUCCGAGCUGAGCCCAUCAGUUCAUCCAACAAAGCUCUCUGAGCGUCCAUGGCUGAAAAACCUGCAAAAUCUUGGGGCUAACUGCAAUCAAUUGAAAGACUUUAAAUCAACUGGAUGUGAUUCUUCUUCGUUUAUAGGUUGGGAGUAUAAAUUAGGGUUUCAGAGUAGAAAUUGAUGACAAGUCGGAGCCAACAGAGGACAAAGGUAAUGUUUCUCCGAGGAGGGCCUU
rnacentral:misc_RNA from 1 species